rnacentral:rRNA from 1 species
AGAUUAAGUUAUUAAGGGCGCACGGUGGAUGCCUUGGCACUAGAAGCCGAUGAAGGACGUUACUAACGACGAUAUGCUUUGGGGAGCUGUAAGUAAGCUUUGAUCCAGAGAUUUCCGAAUGGGGAAACCCAGCAUGAGUUAUGUCAUGUUAUCGAUAUGUGAAUACAUAGCAUAUCAGAAGGCACACCCGGAGAACUGAAACAUCUUAGUACCCGGAGGAAGAGAAAGAAAAUUCGAUUCCCUUAGUAGCGGCGAGCGAAACGGGAAGAGCCCAAACCAACAAGCUUGCUUGUUGGGGUUGUAGGACACUCUAUACGGAGUUAUAAAGGACGACAUUAGACGAAUCAUCUGGAAAGAUGAAUCAAAGAAGGUAAUAAUCCUGUAGUCGAAAAUGUUGUCUCUCUUGAGUGGAUCCUGAGUACGACGGAGCACGUGAAAUUCCGUCGGAAUC